UUUGGCUAGAUCUGCUAGCUCACUAAUACUCCCUUGGUCUUUCACUAUUUUUGUAAUACUCUGUACCUAGUAGUCUUCAAUGAAACUGUGAGCGCCUUCAUCACCAGCGACCAAACCAACCAGAGAUCCAGAAAUAAAAUGACCGCAGAGAGGAGGAAGAGGAGUUCAGCUGUUGACUCGUGCAACCAGAGACCCAGAAAAAUGAAAAGGUAAGCAAUAGAGAUGAGGAAGGAGGAAGAGGAGUUCUCGUUCCCCGACUCUUGCCGCCGGCCGAGAUCCGGCACUUGGGCGUCAGCGACCUCGAAUGAGCUCCUGGAUGCAGAGGAGUUAGUCAGGUGGCGGACAGAGAGCCAUGGAGGGCGGAUCAUGUGGAGGACGGGAGCAACCACUCAAGCUAUUCCGAGUCGAUCUCUCGGUCCGUGAGAUGAAGAGACGAAGAGUGGUCUUCAGUGCAAUAUUCGUUCAGUGCAACACGAAGUACAGAACAAAUCACUGAUUAUAGUGUAAUGUGGAAGUAUUUGCUAGUCAAAAGUGCAUAUAACAUAGAUGUAGUGUGAUCUGAGCUAGUUGCGGCUUGAACUGCAGCAUCUCGUGUCACGUAGCAGCCUCUGUAGGUAGUUUCAGCACUGAACCUCUGCAGCUGGCAUACGCGCAAACCUGAAAUUUGUUGCUGGAGGAUGGUAUAGUUCUUGUAUUGAUUUCAAAUCAUUAGUUCUUUUUA